AUUGUCCCAUUUAUAUACGGUUAUUUCCUUAUAUUAUACCAUGGGAAACUGAACCAUCGAAGUCUGUCCAAGUUUUCCCUCCAAAAGUCAGUGUUGCUAGAAUAGUUUGGUGAGUGAGAUUUAGGUGAUGUGCGUGCGGUAGCUACCUUCUAAAUUCUCAUGGGUGUAAACAGGUGGACAUCUCUGUUAUCAGGCGCCGCAUUUGAGGGUACAUUAGGAAGGUUGACCGGCUUGUUUCGUGGUUGUGGGUGAAAUCAGCCUUGCUCACAACCAGGCAGUCUUCUUUUCUAUUCGCGGUCAGAAGGAAGCCGCUGGGGCAGUUCAUCUUGAAUGUUCUGAAGAAAAAAAUAUCAUUUUAACAACUGUUACAAGAUCAAUGGGGAGCUGGCAGUAUAAUAGAUGGCUCUGUGCAGGGAACUCUUCAGGUUAGUCCAGAACACUGUUAAGGCAGCCUGCUUUAAUAAUUAAGACUCAGUCGGUGUACUCAGCUGCAUGGGAUUACCAGACCUCUCCGUUCAGGAGCGAAGGAGGCUGCCAAAUUCUUUAGCUUUGGACCAGGUGCUUCGGGCAGCACUAGUGGAAAAAGGACUACCCCCUGAAUACCCUUUCUUUUUUUAGGGAGGGUGACCUGCCGACUUCAGCCAGUACAGAGGAAAGAGUAAGAGAUGUGUCGUCAUCAGUGUAGCUAGAUGAAAAGAUGUCGAAUCAGUGUAGCCAGAACACUCCCACCAGAGUUACGUUCGCCCCACCGACUUGGUGACAGCGCUAUGAUUACCAUCUUUCUAAGAAGAUUCCGGAAGUGACGCAGGGAAAUAUUGGCAGGUCAUGUCCACAAAG